UUUUUUUUUUUUUGAAAGGUUUGUUUUGGAUAGUUGACGGUAAUAUCCCAGUUUUCUGACUUGAGGGGGUGAUGUGGCCGAAACUGGGUACUUCAUAGGGUAUCUAUACUUUUUUUUAUUUCGUGUAGGCGUGGCCUAUAAUUCACAAGAUAAUUUAAACAUUUUCUUUCUGAAUCUCCAAUACACGAGGGAUAGAGUGGAAGUCAGCGCCACAUUCAGUUUUAGUGUCGGCGCAUUCAGUUGAUCAGGUUCAGUUACUUGUUCCUUUGUGAUUCAGUCUUCCCGUUUUUUGUUCCUUUGUUCAGUCCCUGUAGCUGGAAAAUUACAGAUGAUAUGAAGCUUUCCAUUCUUCCAUGAUACAGGCUUCCGAGAGCCCUUGGAUCUGAGAUCGAAUGGUUGCAUGGCGUGAUUCUAGACCUACGGGUGUAUCAUUUUUCAGCCACUUUGUUAUUCACUGUGGUUUCGUUCCUCUGUUCAGUCACUGUGGUUGCAUCAUUUUUCAGUCUCUUGAGCCUCUCUUUCCUUCAGUUUUUCAGUUUUCCAGUUUCUUCUGUUUGUUUGAUCUUUUCUAGUCCUCAGCCGCUUAGUUGAAUCACACUUUUACCCCUCUUUCUUUAGCUUCUCAGUGUACCUAAUUUGCUUAACUUCUUUCCUAACUGUCUCAUUUUCGUUUUUUACUCUUUAAUCCUUUGUUAAUUCUUUGUCUUUGCCAUUGAUCAUUCUUUCUCCGGUCGCUGUUUCUUAUCUCUUCAAUCUUCAUUUCUCUUUUUCUUAGUCCUCAAUAUCUCUUUGGUUGGUUGGUCUUCACUCUUCAUAUAAGCAGAUAGUGAUCUGUUGGCACGUCUCCUCCCCUCCCUCGUGUCGCCCCACUCGGGCGACCCGAGGGGUGAAACCCUAACCCCGCCGCCUCCCUUCCCUCGCCGCCGCCCGAGGCAGCUGACGCCGAGCAAGCUUGGUGCGCCGUCGAUGAAGGUGGCGACGGGGCCCUCGCCUCCUCGCCUCGCCCGUGGGGGGACUCUGGAUCUGGGGCGGCGGCCCCGGCUGGUGUGGAGUCGCGGGCUUCGGCAUCCGGUGGCGCGGGCGUGAGUCGGCUGUUCUUAGCCGUGUGGACGGCGAGAUCCCCGAAGACUGCGGGCCAGCUCGCGGCAGUAUCGUCAGCUCCAACUGCGUCAGACCUAGCCGUCCCCUCUGCCCUUCUUCUCCAGCGAGCUCCUCCCCCCCUCCCAGAUCCGAUCUGCCUCGUCAUGGGGUCCCGGUCUGCUUCGGGUGGGAGCGGGUGUCAGGAUGCAGGACCGGGGGAAACCCCCAGCCAGCCAUGCCAGCGGCGACGCCCGUGGGCGCGGCGCACCUUCCCGAAGGCGUCGUUUAGGUCUUGCCCCCCAUCCCCUUCCCCUUUGUCUCCCAGGAGAAAUCCUCAAUUUUGUUGGGCAGCGGCGACGCCCUUGGCGCUGUAACCUUCUUGAAGGCGCUGUUUUGGGAACAAAGAUGGGUUGUGGGCUUCGUUGUGGUGUAGGUGGAGUGUAUCGGCGGCGGCAGCAUGCGUCCAGCGGUGGCGGUGUCUCCCUUGGUGCUGGGUCAAGUUGUUUUGGUGCUCUUCGACGGGCUGCAGUUUAUUCCUCCGAUGCCCUUGGAUCUUCCAGGACGGGAGGGGAUAGGGUUCCCCUCCUACGGUGGCUGCACUACAGGUCGUCGAGCGAGCCGAAGCUCCCAAUUUGGUCUUUGCCCUUGCUGUUGCCCAAUUGUGCAUUCUGAUCGCUCGCCCUCUUCCAAGUCAGAACUACGGCAUAUGGUGUUGCUCUGCUCUAGGUGAGUCGUCGUUGGCAUGUCGGGAAUGCCUGGUUCCGCCCAAGUGGUUUCUUCGAGGCCAUCCAUCCAGGCUCUAAGCAUGUCCAUCGCUUAACGGUGUGAUGCCUUCGAGCCAGGCGAGGAGGCAGGGGUCUUCUUUGACGAUGGAUCUGGAUGGAUGUGUCUUUCUUCAAGCCCAGGUGUUUUGGCAACGGCGUGCCUUGCAUCGUCGUCGGUGCACUCUCCUGACCAGGAUAUCGCUUUGGCCUUGGUUUUCGGCGUGCAAGAGGUUAAUGGCAUCUCCAAGCUAUAUGUUCUACGCCAAUCUUUCUAACUAGCUUGUUGUAUGUGCAUUGUGAGCUGUUCCCUGACGCCCUUGUAUCUUUGCCGUCUAUCUUCUUUUCUUUAGUUGAUGAGUGGUGUAAUUUGAAGUUGAAAUCCUGGCCGGUUGGUGGCUUUGUUAAUUUAUAAAGCCGGGUUCUGCUUGAGCCUUCGUUCUAAAAUAUAUAUAAGCAGAUGGUAAACAUGUGUUUUUUAGGUGAAUGGCCCAUUAUUUCUCUCUUUUUCUUCACUCUUCACUAUUUUUCUUAGUUUUCAGUCCUUCUCUUUGGUUAUUCUUCACUCUCCAUUUAGUUCAGUCACUGUUUUUUGGACUUGACACGCAGAAAAUCCCAAAGGAAGUAGCCCCAAACUUGACAUCCCGGAGAGCGGGCCACCGACACAAGGGCCGAGCACGGCACUGCAGGCGAUGACUGCAUCACUUCAAGCAGAGUUUGGAAGGAGUUUCUCCUCAAGACAGAUCUCACGAUAGAAACUCACGUUCUAGUUACGUUCCACUCUGUUGCAAACAAGCGUCGGGUGUCGGUAGUUUUCAAUUGUCCUCUAAAGAAUGUAGAGUGUUCAAUCUAGCUAUCUGGUAUCGUGGCGCAAACUUGUUUGCUGACUGUUGUGGGCGUGCUACGGGAAUCUAAUCCUGUGUGUGCGCGAUUACGUAGAUCAGUUUCUCGUGCCUGGCACCUACCUCCUUUUUUUUCUUCCUUUGUUGCCUGUCUUUCUGUGUGUUUUAAGAUUAUUAUCUCCGAUGGUUAAACAACAUCAUUCGAGACCUGAGGUGCAGGUAUGUUUCCCUGCUGUGCUAUUUCCCUCUCGUUCUAUUCAUUUUAAACAAUAUCACUUUGGAACAUGACAGCGUGCUAACAGCUACUCCCUCCGUUCCGAAUUACUUGUCGCAGGUUGGAUGUAUUUAGAUGUAUUUUAGUUUUAAAUACAUCUAUUUCUAUAACGAGUAAUUUAGAACGAAGGGAAUAGAACAUGACAGCAGUCUCCAAUAGACCUAUUCAUGAAUGGCCCAAUAUUCAUUUGCUGUUUGUUCUUUUAUUCAUUACCAUUUGAUUUCUUCUAGGGAACUUCACUGCCGUUUGAUGGGAGCCAUGACAUUCAUCACAAAUAGAUGGGAUUACCAGGCAAAACCUCGCUAAUAAGGCCCAUGAACACUUUAGGGCAACUCCAAUGGCCGACCCAUUUAGUUGGGUUGUGUCCGUUUGAGUCCGCACCACGCAAACACAUAUUUUAUCUGCUUUUUAUGUCCACGUGAAUGCAUUUUUGCCUUAAAUUUGGACUCGAUUUGCGUCCAUAUGUGUGUCCGCUUAGUGUUCGUCUUGGACCUGCAUGCUGCCGCCCAACCACCACCUACCGGUCCUAUUUUAUUUCACGCGUGCGCUUGGGCCCACACAUCAGCCACAGAAGCCAGUCCAUGCUUGUCCUUUUUAAUGCCACACGUGUAGUGGGAGGGGGGCGCCCAGUCCACUUCCUCAACAACCAUCUUCCGUCUUCUUCUUCGUGCCCCCUUGGUCGAUUCCUCGUUGGUGUGCCGCGCAGCUAACUUCAGCAUGUCGUCGCGCCAUGCUUGAGCCGCCGACAUGCCUUCCUCUCUACGUCUUUGUCCACCGCUGCAAGUACUUCUGGGAGCAUGGCGUGCCGAUGUGGUGGCCCGACGUGAACCUGAUGAACGGGUGGCAUCUCAAGCACGACAGGGUUCCGGUGCCGGUCUCAGACGCGCGCGGCUGGCAAAGAUCCGCCGCCAUCAUGCUCAACUCCCGGUUGAGCUCCGCCAUGACCCAGCGUACACAGUGGACUCACCGAACUGGGACGCGUGGUUCACCUCUAAGCAUGACUUGCACCGCCAAUUAAGCUUCAAGGGUGCGCCCCGUGCACCGCACGAGCUUGCCGCUCCACCACCACCGUUGGUGGUGUAGGAGGAGGAUCGGGCGGUCGAGGAUCCCUACAUUACGGACCUCGAGGAGGCCACAAGGAGGGCCAUUGAGAAGUCCGAGCACGAGGAGCUCGCCAGGUGGCCUGCCUUUCGCAAAUGUUGGCCGAAUUGGCGGCUAGAGUGGAGGCGAACGCGCCCUCACUCCUACCAAACCCGCCCGCGUCCGAGCCAGUGGAGGAGUGGUGGGAGCUGGAGCACCAAUCUUGCUUGUGGACAAGCACGGUGCCCUGCUCGCCCAUGCACGUGGCGUGCACGCCUGUGUGGUUGGGCGCGUCCGAGGAAGAGGUCAAGCGGCACGCGUUGGCUAAGCAGCAAACGCCGGCAACAUUCCAGGAGGCCUUUUCGUGGAUGGAGGUGCCGGUCUUCUUGGUCCUAACCAAAGAGGAUGACGACGACGACGCAUAGUUUUUAUUUUUCUAGUUUAAAUUAAUGUAAGACUUGACUUGCUGGCUGUUUUUUAUAAUUCGAAUUUGCGUCCAAAUGUACAAUGUGUCUGUUCACGUUGGCCGCAUUUAUGAGCCGGCGGACAAAACCAACUCUGGAAAAAAAAGAGGAUAAAAUCCGCAUUCAUUUGGGUCUCUCGUUGGAGUUCCCUUGCAAUAUACUCCCUCCAUUUCAAAUUACUUGCCGCGUGUAUGGAUGUAUCUAGAUGUAUUUUAGUUCUAGAUACAUUCAUUUCAGCGAGUAAUUUGGAACGAAGGGAGUAACAUCAACCACGCGGAGCCGGUGUUGCACUAGCUGCAUGGAAGCCCCCUUGCGGCGCCGUCCCUCCCCCUUGCAUCGUCCCAUGUCGCGGUCACAACAUCGCUCCUCACCUGUCGCAGCAGCCGCGCACCUUUGCCGUAGCCGCCCCACCUCGUCCUCGUGUUCGCUCGUCAUCGGUGCGCCCGCCGGUUCGCAACGUCCUCGCUCGUCCGCUUGCAGUGCUGGCCCACAAGGGAGACGCGUGCGGGUGUGGGAGCGACCGCUCGCACGCUGCGAUCGACCACCCAAUUCUAGCCGUUUACUAUUUGCCUUCUCUUCUCUUAGUACGCUGCUCUGUAGAAAGAAAAAAAAUAACGGCCUCAAUGCUAAGAGGCGUAGCAAGAUGACUCGUGACUGUCUGAAUCGGAGAGGAGUGCUGGAGGUGAACAGAUAUGAAAUAUCGUUAGGACUCCGACAGACCUACUUCUGCGCCCAUUUCAUUUCGCCUCUCAAAUUUCGAUUCGACAGUGGUGCGGAGUUCUGCGAACAGACAUCGUACGUUAUUACGACUGCCUACGCGUGUACCCCGCUACAAAGGGGGCGGGACAAAACCUUCGAUGGUGUAAUAGUUACGAUAACUAGGUCCCAACAUUGAAGUUGCCACCAAUCCAUUGUCGUCCAGCGGUUAGGAUACCUGGCUUUCACCCAGGCGACCCGGGUUCGAUUCCCGGCAAUGGAAUUUUUAUUUCCAUUGAAACAUUUGUUCCUUCGGGUGUCCUUUUCCUUUCCUGAUUAUUCUCUAGAGCAGCAGUGGUAUCUUUUAUUUAUUUGUUGCAAAAAAUACUUCGUAGCUUUUUUCAGCAAUUUGUUCUUCAAAAAUUUUAUCAGAGCUACCAACGAUCCGAAUUUUAUUAGAGUUGCCGAGAAUUCUUUGUUUAUAAUGUGCUUACAGUUAGCACACGACACUUGACAGCAGUCUCUCAGUACAACUAGCUGAUGCUAUCGCAAAAAAAAAAAGUACAACUAGCUGAUGGAUCAGGACUCGGCAUUUGCUCAAUAUUCAUCCUUCGAAUCAGGACUCGGCAUUUGCUCAAUAUUCAUCCUCCGUUUACAUUCUUAUUGACGGGAGCGAUAAAACUGAUCAGAAUUCAUCGGAAUCUCCAGGCAAAAAUACCUUGCUACGAAGGCACAUUAAGACUUUACAAUGCAGUAUCCUCCUUCCAACACCAGCUAAAAACUUCCAAUUUCCAUCCCAGAUGCAAAAUACUGAAGCGUGCCACUCAAACUACAGAAGACUAAUACAAUACAGACUCGCUGUAGACUAGUAAGUACAGUAGUGAUAACCACAAUGACAGCUGAGCUGUGUAACGGGCCAAAGGAAUGGAUGAAUAAGGCAAACUGCCACUGUUCAUGUGCAAGAAAAUAUGACGGACAUUUAAAAGAAAAAUGCCGGACAGGCGACGGGUAG
rnacentral:lncRNA from 1 species